AUUGAACGCUGGCGGCGUGCUUUACACAUGCAAGUCGAACGGUAACAGGCCGCAAGGUGCUGACGAGUGGCGAACGGGUGAGUAAUGCAUCGGAACGUGCCCAGUCGUGGGGGAUAACGCAGCGAAAGCUGUGCUAAUACCGCAUACGAUCUGUGGAUGAAAGCGGGGGACCGUAAGGCCUCGCGCGAUUGGAGCGGCCGAUGUCAGAUUAGGUAGGUGGUGGGGUAAAGGCUCACCAAGCCGACGAUCUGUAGCUGGUCUGAGAGGACGACCAGCCACACUGGGACUGAGACACGGCCCAGACUCCUACGGGAGGCAGCAGUGGGGAAUUUUGGACAAUGGGCGCAAGCCUGAUCCAGCAAUGCCGCGUGCAGGAAGAAGGCCUUCGGGUUGUAAACUGCUUUUGUACGGAGCGAAAAGGCUCUCUCUAAUACAGGGGGCCCAUGACGGUACCGUAAGAAUAAGCACCGGCUAACUACGUGCCAGCCGCCGCCGUAAAAC
rnacentral:rRNA from 1 species